GGUCCUACUGAAUGUUCGGGUCAAGAUGUACUACGACUCGAGAGGUCAAAAAGCUCGUGGAAAUAAGACCAUGCUGUGGCCCCAAAGCUGGCGCCACAAUUAUUAACAAGUGGCCAAAGGGGAAGGGACUGGGGGGAAUCUUACAGGGCUUUGGAAGUAGGCCAUAAAGGGCAUAAAUAUUUCAAGUGCUCGUUAGGCUGGAUGUGAGGGAGUGGUUGUCAUAAAAAAAUGGAUUCUUACUUUUACUUGGGGUAACGCUUGAUGUGCAAUGGUGUCUUAAUUUGGAGAACAA
rnacentral:lncRNA from 1 species